AGUGUUUUCUUUUAACUUCCUCUUUUGAGAAACGAAAAAAUCCAGAUAAGUUUUUAGUGGUGGAGACUGGAAACUUGGAACUUUGUCACCUUUAGCUGUCAGAAAUUUAAGGAGAGGAGGAAAAAUGGGAGGAAGGAAGAAGGGCGACGCUUUCCACUGCAUGAAGCUUCAUAUUCAUCCAGGUGACAGAAAAGGAUACAUCAAUAUCUUAUCAUUCCAGCCAUAUUUGAAUGAUUUGUCGAGGGUGGAGGUGGGUUGAGUUGGUGGCUUCAUUAUACUUUUGAGGGUGAAGUUGGGUGAUGCCAUGAAGGCUCUCAUUAAACUAAACUAGGUUCAACUAAAUAUAUAGAGGAUAAUAGUUAACCCUCUAAACCCAACCCAACCUCACCUAUAAUAUGAGAGACUUGACCUGCACAUAUUAAAAUUGUUCUAGGGUAGUCAUCAAGAUGAUGUUUAAAUUCAUCUUGUCCUCUUUAUAUGACAUGUAUAUUAAAACAAUUGACAUGCACCUGCAGAGACAAUCUUAUUUUACUCUUUGGACUUGUUUAGUUUAUGGGCCGAGGAGGAAACAAGUGGGGGAAUGGAAAAAUAGAGAAAAUGAGAAAUGCCUCAUAUUUUGUUCGAAUUUCAAAGAAGAAAAAUAGGGAAAAAUAACUUUUCUAUAGGAAAAAGAUUGUUAUAUUUUA